rnacentral:lncRNA from 1 species
UGCGACCGAAAUCGGUUGUCAUGCCAUUGCUGCAAGCAAAAUCGGUAAAAGGUCCUGAUGCAGGUGGCAUUACCACUGGAAGGGUUUGAUUCGAAUAUUUCCGAGUGAAAUUCUUCUAUACCCGAAUAAAGGAGAAGCCAAAGAAACCGAAGAUAGAGGAAUCGAUGAGCAAUGCAAUUGUGUCAGAAGGCAGGGUGGGGGAGAGAAAAUGGAUAUGUGCAAAUUCCUUGGUGCUG